GUGCUGAUGAUGUGGACAAUCCCAAAGAAAAGAUUUGAACCUUUCCCAUGCAUGAUAUAAGUUCUCAUCUGGCUUCUAUUUAAAGCAUACAAUCUAACUACAAAGUCU
rfam:Capsicum annuum cultivar Zunla-1 chromosome 1, whole genome shotgun sequence